rnacentral:rRNA from 1 species
CAGCAGCCGCGGUAAUACGGAAGGUCCGGGCGUUAUCCGGAUUUAUUGGGUUUAAAGGGAGCGUAGGCCGGAGAUUAAGUGUGUUGUGAAAUGUAGACGCUCAACGUCUGACUUGCAGCGCAUACUGGUUUCCUUGAGUACGCACAACGUUGGCGGAAUUCGUCGUGUAGCGGUGAAAUGCUUAGAUAUGACGAAGAACUCCGAUUGCGAAGCAGCUGACGGGAGCGUAACUGACGCUUAAGCUCGAAGGUGCGGGUAUCGAACAGGAUUAGAUACCCUGGUAGUCCGCACAGUAAACGAUGGAUGCCCGCUGUUGGUACCUAGUAUCAGCGGCUAAGCGAAAGCAUUAAGCAUCCCACCUGGGGAGUACGCCGGCAACGGUGAAACUCAAAGGAAUUGACGGGGGCCCGCACAAGCGGAGGAACAUGUGGUUUAAUUCGAUGAUACGCGAGGAACCUUACCCGGGCUUGAAUUGCAGAGGAAGGAUUUAGAGAUAAUGACGCCCUUCGGGGCCUCUGUGAAGGUGCUGCAUGGUUGUCGUCAGCUCGUGCCGUGAGGUGUCGGCUUAAGUGCCAUAACGAGCGCAACCCCUCUCUUCAGUUGCCAUCAGGUAAUGCUGGGCACUCUGGAGACACUGCCACCGUAAGGUGUGAGGAAGGUGGGGAUGACGUCAAAUCAGCACGGCCCUUACGUCCGGGGCUACACACGUGUUACAAUGGCCGGUACAGAGGGAUGGUGUAAUGCAAAUUGCAUCAAAUCUUGAAAGCCGGUCCCAGUUCGGACUGGGGUCUGCAACCCGACCCCACGAAGCUGGAUUCGCUAGUAAUCGCGCAUCAGCCAUGGCGCGGUGAAUACGUUCCCGGGCCUUGUACACACCGCCCGUCAAGCCAUGAAAGCCGGGGGCGCCUGAAGUCCGUGACCGGAAGGAUCGGCCUAGGGCAAAACUGGUGAUUGGGGCUAAGUCGUAACAAGGUAGCCGU